CCUACGGGUGGCAGCAGUGGGGGAUAUUGCACAAUGGGGGGAACCCUGAUGCAGCGACGCCGCGUGGGUGAAGAAGGGCCUCGGCGUGUAAAGCCCUGUCAGCAGGGAAGAAAAGGACGGUACCUGAAGAAGAAGCCCCGGCUAUCUACGUGCCAGCCGCCGCGGGAAUACGUAGGGGACAAGCGUUAUCCGGAUUUACUGGGUGGCACGGGGGCGUAGACGGCGAUGCAAGGCAGGAGUGAAAGCCCGGGGCCCAACCCCGGGACUGCUCUUGAAACUGCGUGGCUGGAGUGCAGGAGGGGCAGGCGGAAUUCCUGGUGUAGCGGUGACAUGCGUAGAUAUCAGGAGGAACACCGGUGGCGAAGGCGGCCUGCUGGACUGCAACUGACGUUGAGGCCCGAAAGCGUGGGGAGCAAACAGGAUUAGAUACCCCGGUAGUC
rnacentral:rRNA from 1 species